rnacentral:rRNA from 1 species
UACGGAGGGUGCAAGCGUUAUCCGGAUUCACUGGGUUUAAAGGGUGCGUAGGUGGGCAAGUAAGUCAGUGGUGAAAUCUCCGGGCUUAACCCGGAAACUGCCAUUGAUACUAUUUGUCUUGAAUACCGUGGAGGUCAGCGGAAUAUGUCAUGUAGCGGUGAAAUGCUUAGAUAUGACAUAGAACACCAAUUGCGAAGGCAGCUGGCUACACGAAUAUUGACACUGAUGCACGAAAGCGUGGGGAUCAAACAGA